GUAACGGCACCGACGCUCGGCUCACUGUGGUUUUUCCUCCCCUUUCCCCAUCACAGCUCUCGCACCCCUACAACUCCCUGUCCCCCUUCAUCUUCUGAUGCGUUGUAGUCCUUUCACCGAAACAGCCAGGGGGGGAAAAGGGUGUUGGAGAGGGCAGUUACACCCGAGAGAAGAUUCGGAUAGUGGAGGGGGUGUGUCUUCUUUCUGGGGAGGAGCUAUACUGGGAGGACCUGAAACAGCUGAAGGUGUGUCGAGGGGGUGGACUUCAUACCUGCAUGCGCACGGAUACUGUCUCCCUGCAAGCAAGCUCAGCCUCCUUGGACGAUACUGAGACGGAACAGCUGUUACAGGGCGACCAAUCCGAAUGUUCCAGUCUAAACACAGCCCCAGCGACCACACCCCAGCGCCACAGUGCCCACCCAGACACUGGCUGGGUCCCCAAUCGCAAACCCUCCACUGAGAGUGAAGUGUGAUCUCACAAUGAACACAUGCUUAGACAAUGACAUCUACACAAAAGACACAUGCUUCACACAAGAAUGAAUGCACAUGCUACACCCAACAAAUCCCCUUCUGUCAAAAAGGCUACACACACACACACACACACACACACACACACAGACACACACACACACACACACACACAGUGUUACCUACAUAUCGAAACUGCAAACCUGCCUAGCAGGCCGUGUAAAGCUGAGCAAUUAUAGCUGUGCAACUCAUAGAUUUAGUAGGCAAAUGGUUCAUCUAUGCAUAGGGCACAGAACAAAAGCCAGCAAAAACAUUUAAUAACCCAUUUAAGGAAGGUGCCUGACUGGCCUAAAACUAAAACCGGCAUAGAAUUUCUGAACACACAUACAUGUAAACAAACAUUACCCCAGUUUCCUAAACCAUCAUUUCCUAAACCAUCAUAGUAUCUUUUCUUUACUCCUCCCCAUGUUACUGGGGCCUGAGCUUCACCCUGACUCCUCCCCCAAUGUCUGGAGCACAUCCCCUACCCCACUGUGGGCUCCUGACUCCUCCCCUUAUGUCUGGAGCCCAUCCCCCACCCCACUGUGGGCUCCUGACUCCUCCCCCUAUGUCUAGUGCCCAUCCCCCAACCCACUGUGGGCCACCCCCUUUCGGACACACGACUGAAAAGACUUUGCAGAGCCUACGGACAGCAUAAUGCAGUAAGAGAACAAAGAUUUAAAAAAAAACAAAACACUUUUGAGAAAGCAAGGAAUGCAACCCACAAAGAAAUCGGGAGUGUUUUUGUAUACAAGGACAGCACUGUUGUGUAUAAAAUUAUGCUUUUUUUUUGUGGAUUUCUGAUGUAAGCUAAAAUCAAGACUCUGUGCUCAUGGACAGUAUAGCAAACUGAUCCGUCUGCUGCCACGCCUCACCACUCAUCGUACGUUUAUGAACUCUAUUUAUGAACAUUUUGUACAUCUGAGUGGGCUGUUCAUUCUGUCUCCCCUGCAUUCUGUUCAAGGCCUCAUGCAUUGACAGGACUAAUUAAGGAUUAGUGCCAAAGGGCGGGGUGCGCUCUCUCUCCCUCUGCGGACGCCGCUGUGAUUUAUGAAGCCGUGCAGCGCUGCGUGGGUCACUCGCAUCAUGGUCCAGUUCAGAUGUGCGGCACAACCCAGUUUUACAGAGAGAUGGAACGAAAAUGUGGCCAUGUUACGAACAUUGCCAGUUUUUCCCUCGUCAUUCGUCUCAUCAAAUGAAAUGUUUUACAGGUUGUUUUUGUUUUAUGGAUUUUUGAAACGAGCAUUAGAUAUUUGAUUAAGUAAGGUAAUUGAGCAAGUUUAAGGUAGGGUGACAAAAAAAACAAAAAAACAUGAAACAUUACAUGUCCUCGGGGAAAGUAGUCUGAAUGAAGUGUAAGUGCCAAAUGUUGUUUUUGUUGUUGUUUUUUCUUCACUAUAUUUAUAUUUCAGGAGAGCUAUAUUUGACAUUUCUCCCUUUUUACUUUGUGCUUAGAGAUGAUCAACCAUAUUAGAACCUGCGAAGCACCAUGCACUUGGUCAUGUAGCUUUCUAUGAACUUUCAUAGAGCUAUCACGAGUGUGUAACUGUAUACCACUGACCAUUCAUUUGACCAUUCAUUUUAAGGAAAAAGGAAUAUGUGGUGUUUUAUGCAAUGCUUUGAACUCUUGUUUUGUACUUUUGUUGUCAUUGGAGUCACUUUGAGGACUGUUUUAACAAUCCUCUUUGAGGAUUGUUGUGUUCUCAAACGCAUGUAUCUUGAAGUAACUUCUCCAGUUUCAGCACAAUGCUGAUUUGCUGCUACAACACACACCCAGUACUGAGGCCAAUGAGGGAUGGUCUUGGCAGCUACUUACCUGCAGCUCUCUAAUUGUUGGCUUACAAAACAACUAGACAUCAUAUCUAGUGUGCCAUUUAAUAUAUACAUGUAACCUGCUUCCUUUUUUAUCUGCAUAUUUCCAAUUGCUGACAGAAGAGCUUGUACAGACUUCACAAUGGAGAGAAAGCGUGUAUGUGUUAAAAUAUGUUGUGUUGAUUUAUUGUAUAGUCUUUUGUACAAAGGGAUUUUUUUCAACAUUUAUUAAAGGGAUAGUUAACAUUUUGCCAAUUUCAUGAGCUUUUCCUACUGGCAUAAAGUCAGAUGAUGAGUUCUGUUUUAUUUACAUUUCUUUGUGCAGUUGCACAUGAGAACCAUAAUGGUAAUGGGCAGAUUAUUCAUUUUUUGAAAGCUUCAAUUUUAGAAACAGUUGUUUUUUUUUAACUGAAACAUUUAAUUUGGUACAUUUUACUGUUUGGCUGUGAAAGUCUUAACAAACAACAGUCAAGUUGUAGUGGUGCUUCUAGAUGAAUCAGUAAGUUAAUGAUUUUCAAAUGCUUAACUUUUCUUUUAUUACACUACAGGUAAGCAAACAGCAAGUUGGAUCAGUUUUGGAGCUUGAUGUGUGUCAGCUAGCUGUUUUUGAAGACUUCCAUUCAUGCAGAUCUAAGAAGCUGCACACAAUGUGCAACUUGCACACAGAGAUUUGGAAGAAUGCUAGUAAUAACUUUGUCUGACUUUGUGAAAGCAGAAAAAAAUAUUUCAUUGCCAAAACGUUAAAGUCCCUUUUAUUUCACUCACUGGAGAGGAAUUAUUUAACCACUUUCUUUUCUCCAAGCCUUGUGAAUAAUAAGGUUGAUGCCAGUUAUUUAACAGAAUGCUCUUUUAUGUUUCAAAAAUAUUGGUCACAUGUAACUGUUGUAAAGUUAACUAAGAGAUAUUUAUAAUUUCUUUGUUUGGUUGUCAUUUAGAUGUAAAUAUAAAAUGACUGUAUAUGUAUUUCCCCAUUGCAAUACUAACAGACUGUGUUGUGUGACAGUGAAUUACUCCUUUGCUAUCUUUUAAUAUAAAACUGCAUUUGCAUUGAACAGAA